CCUACGGGCGGCUGCAGUGGGGAAUAUUGGACAAUGGGGGGAACCCUGAUCCAGCCAUGCCGCGUGUGUGAAGAAGGCCCUCGGGUUGUAAAGCACUUUCAGUGAGGAAGAACGCCUGGUGGUUAAUACCCAUCAGGAAAGACAUCACUCACAGAAGAAGCACCGGCUAACUCCGUGCCAGCAGCCGCGGUAAUACGGAGGGUGCGAGCGUUAAUCGGAAUUACUGGGCGUAAAGCGCGCGUAGGUGGCUUGAUAAGCCGGUUGUGAAAGCCCCGGGCUCAACCUGGGAACGGCAGCCGGAACUGUCAAGCUAGAGUGCAGGAGAGGAAGGUAGAAUUCCCGGUGUAGCGGUGAAAUGCGUAGAGAUCGGGAGGAAUACCAGUGGCGAAGGCGGCCUUCUGGACUGACACUGACACUGAGGUGCGAAAGCGUGGGUAGCAAACAGGAUUAGAUACCCCUGUGGUC
rnacentral:rRNA from 1 species